rnacentral:rRNA from 1 species
UACGUAGGAUCCAAGCGUUGUCCGGAUUUACUGGGUGUAAAGGGUGCGCAGGCGGUCUGGUUAGUCUGGGGUGAAAUCUCAUCGCUUAACGGUGAAACUGCCUUAGAUACUGCCAGUCUUGAAUCAGCGAGAGGUUCGUGGAAUUCCGAGUGUAGCAGUGAAAUGUGUAGAUAUUCGGAAGAACACCAGUGGCGAAGGCAGCGAACUGGCGCUCGAUUGACGCUCAGGCACGAAAGCAUGGGGAUCAAGCAGG